rnacentral:rRNA from 1 species
CAGAGGACCCCUAAACUCUGUUUCUAUAUGUAACUUCUGAGUAAAACCAUAAAUAAAUCAAAACUUUCAACAACGGAUCUCUUGGUUCUGGCAUCGAUGAAGAACGCAGCAAAAUGCGAUAAGUAAUGUGAAUUGCAGAAUUCAGUGAAUCAUCGAAUCUUUGAACGCACAUUGCGCCCGCCAGUAUUCUGGCGGGCAUGCCUGUUCGAGCGUCAUUUCAACCCUCAAGCACAGCUUGGUGUUGGGACUCGCGUUAAUUCGCGUUCCCCAAAUUGAUUGGCGGUCACGUCGAGCUUCCAUAGCGUAGUAGUAAAACCCUCGUUACUGGUAAUCGUCGCGGCCACGCCGUUAAACCCCAACUUCUGAAUGUUGACCUCGGAUCAGGUAGGAAUACCCGCUGAACUUAAGCAUAUCAAUA